AACAGGAUUAGAUACCCUGGUAGUCCACGCCGUAAACGAUGUCGACUAGCCGUUGGGUCCUUCACGGACUUUGUGGCGCAGUUAACGCGAUAAGUCGACCGCCUGGGGAGUACGGCCGCAAGGUUGAAACUCAAAUGAAUUGACGGGGGCCCGCACAAGCGGUGGAGCAUGUGGUUUAAUUCGAUGCAACGCGAAGAACCUUACCUACCCUUGACAUCCUGCGAACCCUUCGGAGACGAAGGGGUGCCUUCGGGAGCGCAGAGACAGGUGCUGCAUGGCUGUCGUCAGCUCGUGUUGUGAAAUGUUGGGUUAAGUCCCGUAACGAGCGCAACCCUUGUCCCUAUUUGCCAGCGAUUCGGUCGGGAACUCUAGGGAGACUGCCGGUGACAAACCGGAGGAAGGUGGGGACGACGUCAAGUCAUCAUGGCCCUUACGGGUAGGGCUACACACGUGCUACAAUGGUCGGUACAAAGGGUUGCGAGCUCGCGAGAGCAAGCCAAUCCCAGAAAGCCGAUCUCAGUCCGGAUCGGAGUCUGCAACUCGACUCCGUGAAGUCGGAAUCGCUAGUAAUCGUGAAUCAGAAUGUCACGGUGAAUACGUUCCCGGGCCUUGUACACACCGCCCGUCACACCAUGGGAGUGGACUGCACCAGAAGUGGUUAGCCUAACCUUCGGGAGGGCGAUCACCACGGUGUGGUUCAUGACUGGGGUGAAGUCGUAACAAGGUAACC
rnacentral:rRNA from 1 species